AUGGAUUGUUUGUUACUUUACAUCCACCAGACGCGAUGUCAAGCGAGUGGCAAUGUCUCCCAUCCACUUUCAACUGGACGCGAUGUCGUGUGGACUCCAUUGUCGACUAGGUUUUCCAGGGAACCGAUUCAGAAGACAAGCAGGCCUAAGGCGUCCAGAUGGGUGUCCUUGUUGCCGUGCUUGAGGAUGAUGACGCACCUAAUGCACAGCCCACUGUCUUCAACAUUGCUGUCGCGUUGGAGUGAGUCCAUUGUCCUCACAGAUCUUCGCACACGCGCACAUACAAUCAACAGAAAAACGGGUUAUGUUAAGCCCUACAGUAAAUGGAUCUGUCUGCCCGCAUUAUUUUAUUUAUUUAGUUUAUUACAUAUAAGGACAGCCGUUUUGUCAGUAAACAGAUACGGAAAUUUGUGGACUUCAUUUUUAGUUUGUAGUGUUUCCCCCUGCUCUCUGAGACGUGUGUCCUUUUUUGGUUGACACACACACACACACACACACACACACACACACACACACACACACACACACACACACACACACACACACACACACACACACACACACACACACACACACACACACACACACACACACACACACACAGCGCAGAUAAACAGGAAGCUUAUUUGUGGCCAGUUGUGUUAAGCCGUACAAUAAAGUGAUCUGUCUGUCCGCAUUAUUUUAAGUAGCAUAGACAUUUUGUCGGUAAACAGUUACUGAAAUUUAUUUGAAUUUUUUGCUUUGGAUGUUGCGGAAAGGGCUGUUUGUAAUGUUAACGUUUAAACUUUUCAUUUAUUUUAAACUUGCAAAAUGGUUUAAAAUGCAAAAGCUGGUUUAUUGUCCGUUUGUGUAAUUGUUAAUAGGAUUUACUUUGUAAGACAAACUCAAAAUGGACGUUUUUACACACUAAUGAUUCAACAUCAUAUUGACUUAGGAUUCUUAGUCUGUGCAACUAGAUUUGUGAAGCUUUAGGUUUCUUUUAUUUAGGGAGGGGGAGAGGAGAGGGAGGCAGGGGGAAAGGGAGACGAGGAGUUGAAGAGGGAGGCAGGGGGAGAGGAGGAGAGGGAGACGGGGGGAGCGAAGAGAGGGAGAAGGAGACAAGAAACAACUUGCCUCAACUU
rnacentral:lncRNA from 1 species